UGAGGAAUAUUGGACAAUGGGGGAAACCCUGAUCCAGCCAUGCCGCGUGAGUGAUGAAGGCCUUAGGGUUGUAAAGCUCUUUUAGAUGGGAAGAUAAUGACUGUACCAUCAGAAUAAGCCCCGGCUAAAUUCGUGCCAGCAGCCGCGGUAAUACGAAUGGGGCAAGCGUUGUUCGGAAUCACUGGGCGUAAAGCGUAUGUAGGCGGUUCGGCAAGUCAGAAGUGAAAUCCCAAAGCUUAACUUUGGAAUUGCUUUUGAAACUGCCAAGCUUGAGUACUGGAGAGGUUAGCAGAAUUCCGAGUGUAGAGGUGAAAUUCGCAGAUAUUCGGAGGAAUACCAGUGGCGUAAGCGGCUAACUGGACAGUAACUGACGCUGAGAUACGAAAGCGUGGGGAUCAAA
rnacentral:rRNA from 1 species